GACGAACGCUGGCGGCGUGCCUAAUACAUGCAAGUAGAACGCUGAAGGAGGAGCUUGCUCUUCUGGAUGAGUUGCGAACGGGUGAGUAACGCGUAGGUAACCUGCCUGGUAGCGGGGGAUAACUAUUGGAAACGAUAGCUAAUACCGCAUAAGAGUAGAUGUUGCAUGACAUUUGCUUAAAAGGUGCAAUUGCAUCACUACCAGAUGGACCUGCGUUGUAUUAGCUAGUUGGUGGGGUAACGGCUCACCAAGGCGACGAUACAUAGCCGACCUGAGGGGGGGAGCGGGCACACUGGGACUGGGACACGGCCCAGGCUCCUACGGGAGGCAGCAGUAGGGAAGCUUUGGCAAUGGGCGGAAGUCUGACCGAGCAACGCCGCGUGAGUGAAGAAGGGUCUCGGGUCGUAAAGCUCUGUUGUAAGAGAAGAACGAGUGUGGGAGUGGAAAGUUCACACUGUGACGGUAUCUUACCAGAAAGGGACGGCUAACUACGUG
rnacentral:rRNA from 1 species